rnacentral:rRNA from 1 species
AAAGCUCUUUCGGCCGGGAAGAAAUCGUGUUCUCUAACAUAGGACAUGGAUGACGGUACCGGACUAAGAAGCACCGGCUAACUACGUGCCAGCAGCCGCGGUAAUACGUAGGGUGCGAGCGUUAAUCGGAAUUACUGGGCGUAAAGCGUGCGCAGGCGGUUUGCUAAGACAGGUGUGAAAUCCCCGGGCUUAACCUGGGAACUGCGCUUGUGACUGGCAGGCUAGAGUACGGCAGAGGGGGGUGGAAUUCCUGGUGUAGCAGUGAAAUGCGUAGAGAUCAGGAGGAACACCGAUGGCGAAGGCAGCCCCUGGGCCUGUACUGACGCUCAUGCACGAAAGCGUGGGGAGCAAACAGGAUUAGAUACCCUGGUAGUCCACGCCCUAAACGAUGUCGACUAGUCGUUCGGAGCAGCAAUGCACUGAGUGACGCAGCUAACGCGUGAAGUCGACCGCCUGGGAGUACGG